ensembl:lncRNA
UAUAACUGAAUAUCCACUGAUAAGAUGCUAACUGUAAGAGCAAGUUUUAAAAUAACCAUGUCACUCAUUGUAAAAAGAACAUUUACUUAAUAUAUCUGGGCAUGCAACAAAAGUAAAUGUCACAGUCUUAAUUUCCAUGCAUCUUGUUAUAGUUGAUUUUUAGAUUUAUGGCCUUAUAGUGCAUAACCUCCAUGUAGUAAUGUGUUAAUUAAGAUGAGGGGUUGUGACCUGCACAAUUACUCACUGCAUAUUUAAUUCUGUCUGAUUAACGCAGGAUGGUAAGAGCAGCUCUCAAGUCUGAAGUAAGCAGUCUCAUCACUGUAGCUCUUAUUUGUUAUUUUGUGCUGCCAUCAUUCAGGUCAAUGGGAUUGAAGAGGAAACGAUAAAGGUUAUUGAGGAGGGUUUGAGCAUGAUCACUUUCUCUCAUUUUAAGCAAAUACACUUGAUGUUUUCUCUCUCUUCUGUAAAUGAUAUGGAAUUUAUUAACAGUUGAUCCAUUGAUACUAGUAUCUACAUGGAGAUAAAGCAUACAUGCGUCCCUGGUAUUGCUCUGGCGCCAUCUAUCGAUGGACCAUGAUUUUAAGUCACACUUUGCUUAAUGAGUGAAUAAUAGACUGAGACCAGAUAUAUGUUCAUGCCAUCAUUGCUAAAAAAAAAAGCCCAUCAUAAACCAGACUAUGUUGGUUUGUAGGCUGGUUUUAGUGGUUUUAGCUGGUCACGCUGGGAGACCAGGAUUAUGACCAACUAAACUAGUAGAAUACCUGCUUGGCCAGAGACCAGCUAAAACCAGAUAGGACCACCUAACUAUCGUAGUUUGAAGAUAUGUUCUGCCUAAAUUUGCCUGGUUUUAAAACAAGUUCCCAAACAAUAUAUCCACUGAAGAAAAUCAACCACAUUUAGUGGGGAACUCCAUCACAUGUUAUAAGAUGGAUUUGCCAUAAGAGGGCGACAUUGCAACAGUCUGAAUCCGAAAAGCAUGGCGCUGCAAACAUGUAUUGCGUUUUUGUUAGCAGACAGCUAUGAUGUUGAAGAUUUCUUAUUUUUCAAGAAAAAUGCAACUCGCAAACGUCGGAAAGUAAGAAUGAAGUUGAAAACUGAACCAAGUGAUGAUCUGCAAAGAGAGGAUGAAAAAAGAGAUGUUUUCAAUGCCGUGCUGCAAAGCUUGACAAUAAGUGAUUUUAAGAGUCACUUCCAGCUGACGACAUCUCAAACUGAGGAGCUGGUACGGCUGUUGGCACCUUGUAAAUGGACUGCUAUUAGGCAAGAGGGAUGGACAGUGUGGCAUGCAGUGCUUGCUAGUCUGUGGGCUCUUUCUACCCAAGAGACUUACCACAGUGUGGCAAACCGUUUCCACAUCACAGAGUCACUCAUUUGUGUUCAGCUGGAUGAGUUCUGUACUUUUGUUACCAGUAACUUGGCUAAUGAAAUUCACUGGCCGCACGGGGAGGAAGCAGAAAUGUCUGUGGUGGGGUUCCUUUCUACUGUGGGGUUACCAGAUACCCUCUGUGUAGUAGGAACAUGUUUCAUUCCUGUUGAGAAGCCUACAGAUGUGCCAGAUCCAGAGGUAUAUAGAGACACAGAGGGGUCGUACUCUAUUAAACUCAUGGCUUUUUGCAACCACAAGGGUCGCUUUACCUACGUGUCUGCAGAGCACCCUAGAAAUUGGCAUAACUCAAGAGUCCUGUCCGCCACGGAGGUUGGCAAGGCAUUGCGAGAAAACCCUGUGGCUCUGCUAGAUGGCAAACACAUUAUUGGCAAUUCCACCUUUCCACUUUCAGAGCACUUCCUGACUCCAUUCCCUGACUAUGCAACACUAGGACAGAAAAAAGUAUGUUAUAACCAGAAAGUGCAGUCAUCUCUUGCAGUGGCACAAGGCUCCAUCCAUACUCUGCGAUCUUGUUUUCAGAGGCUCAGAUGUCUGCAGAAGCAUUCCGUUUGCCAAACCAGUUUAGCUGUGAAGACCUGCUGUAUUUUAUACAACAUGUUCCUAGAGACGUAUAAUGUUCUAGUGGACUGCAUUGGGGACGAUUUAACCCAAAAGCCUUUCCAUGAACUACGCUAUGGACACUCUGGAAGUCUUGGUGGAAUAUCUAAAAGACAAGACAUUGCAGCCUCACUUGGGCGAACCACUAAAAAAAGAAAAUAUAUGUACAGUUAGUGUUGAAAAGUAAUGUUGCGUAUGAUAAUGAAUACAUGUUGACAAAAUGUUCUAGUUUAAUUUAUAAGGUGACUGUUUUGUUAAUCACUGUAGUAUGUAAAUGUUAUGUACACUUAUUUUGUCAUAAUGCAAUGCAAAAGUGUUUGUAUAAUAAAACAAUAUCCUCCAUAAGGAUCUAAAGUUUU